GCGGUAUGGAACACUCUUUUCCUUUCUCAAGCCCCACCGAAGUGACCGAACUACGAGACUCCCGAACUCUUGCGCCGUUUCUUCACUUCUUCUCCUCCUCUCCAUCUCGGAGCUCCAGCGGUCCAGCCUUCAGCUCCAGUUCUUCCGUUCUUCGGCGGCUCGUGGCUCGGCCCUUGAUCAGUGUUUGAAAUUGCUGGGUUAUUCACUCCAGUCACUCUACCGAAAGAGUUCUUGGGUGGGUUGGGUUUGUUGAAUUUGUUCAUGUAUCACGGGAGAUUGGGAGGUGGAUUGAGGAGGAUGCUUUCGUCCUUGUUCCUGGUGAUAUAAAUCAUAUAAUCAGCAUUGAGCUUGGGGAUAUUAUUCCAGCAGAUGCUCGUCUCCUCGACGAUGAUCCACUGAAAAUUGAUCAGUUUGCACUUACCGGUGAGUCACUUUUUGUGACCAAAGGCCCUGGUGACAGUGUGUAUUCGGGCUCUACAUGCAAACAAGGAGAGAUUGAAGCUGUUGACUUGAUACAUAUGCUUUCGCAAGCGUACGAAUCAUUGUCAAGAUAGGGAAGUAUUGAGCCCAAAGUUUAUCGUACCACGGGGAUUAGUGGCUAACCCACAAUCCUUGGAUAGUCGGAACUAGAGUCACUAAGCAAAUAAAGGAAAAAGAAAAAGAAAAUA